GGAGCGUCCAGGCGCACCCAGAACCCUUUGUGAACUUAUACCUUUUGUUGCCUCGGCGCAUGCUGGUCUCUAGUAGGCCCCCCACCCCGGUGAGGAGACGGCACGCCGGCGGCCAAGUUAACUCUUGUUUUUACACUGAAACUCUGAGAAAAAACACAAAUGAAUCAAAACUUUCAACAACGGAUCUCUUGGUUCUGGCAUCGAUGAAGAACGCAGCGAAAUGCGAUAAGUAAUGUGAAUUGCAGAAUUCAGUGAAUCAUCGAAUCUUUGAACGCACAUUGCGCCCUCUGGUAUUCCGGAGGGCAUGCCUGUUCGAGCGUCAUUUCAACCCUCAAGCAUUGCUUGGUGUUGGGGCACUGCUUUUAACGAAGCAGGCCCUGAAAUCUAGUGGCGAGCUCGCCAGGACCCCGAGCGCAGUAGUUAAACCCUCGCUUUGGAAGGCCCUGGCGGUGCCCUGCCGUUAAACCCCCAACUUCUGAAAAUUUGACCUCGGAUCAGGUAGGAAUACCCGCUGAACUUAAGCAUAUCAAUAGGUGGGAGGAAA
rnacentral:rRNA from 1 species